AUGGGCGACAGCUCGGCGUUCCCGGGCUUCCACAGCCAGUACAGCUACGACCGCGACUACGCGCGCCCGCUCUUCCGCGUCGCCUCCUUCUCCUCCGAGAGAGGCGGCGACGAGCACCAGCACAUGGCCCGCACGGCGUCCUUCAAGGUGACCGCGGCGCCGUCGCGCCUCUCGCAGGCGAUGAGCAAGCUGAGCAUGAAGAAGCUGCAGCAGGCCGUCGACGAGAGGUCCGUGGAAGACGAAGAAAUGGAGCUGAUGAAGGAGAAGUACACCAAGCUGCUUCUCGGGGAGGACAUGUCCGGCGGCGGCAAGGGCGUCUGCACCGCCGUCGCAAUCUCCAACGCCAUCACCAACCUAUAUGCAACUGUGUUUGGGACCUGCCACAGGUUGCAGUCACUGCCCCCUGAGAAGAGAUCAAUGUGGAACCGAGAGAUGGACUGCCUCCUCUCCAUCUGCGAGUACAUCGUCGAGUUCGCGCCGACGGUCCAGGCCAGACCCGACGGAAGCACACACGAUGUGAUGGCAACCUCGCCACGGUCAGACAUCCUGAUGAACCUCCCCGCACUGGAGAAGCUAGAAACCAUGCUCCUUGGCAUAUUGGACAGCUUUGACAAGGCGGAGUUCUGGUACGCGGACCAGAGGAAGCAGUCCUUCAGCGAAACCAAGAAGCCGUCGUUCAAGCGCAACGAGGACAAGUGGUGGUUGCCCGAGCCAUGCGUGCCGGAAUCAGGCCUCUCCGACUCUCUGCACCGCGAGCUGCAGCACAAGCGGGACCAGGCUAGCCAGAUCCACAAGAUGGCCAUGGAGAUCAACAAUGCCAUCCUCUCCGAAAUGCAAAUCCCGUCCUCAUACAUUGAAACGCUUCCCAAGACCGGGAAAGUCGGGACAGGCGACGCCAUAUACCGGUACAUGUCCUCAGGGGACCAGUUCUCGCCGGACCACCUCCUCGACUUCCUCAACUUGAGCUCCGAGCACGAGGCGCUCGAGAUCGCCGACCGUGUCGAGGCUGCUAUGUACGUGUGGAGAAGGAAAGCUAGCAUGACCCACGUGGUGACCAAAUGGGAGAAUGUCACCGAGCUGAAUGCCGACGGGGACAAGAACUUGAUCCUAGCAAGCAGGGCCAGGAGCCUGCUGCUGUGCUUGAAACAAAGGUUUCCGGGCCUCUCACAAACCACCCUCGACACAAGCAAGAUUCAGUACAAUAAGGACAUUGGACAGGCGAUACUCGAAAGCUACUCAAGGGUGCUCGAAAGUUUGGCCUACAGUAUUGUCUCCUGGAUAGAUGAUGUUCUCCUUGCAGAUGAAAAUGCAAAGCAAGGGAAUAGCACCAGAAUACAGAAGCAAGUAUUCAGCCAGGUCUCUCCUCAACGCUGA
rnacentral:rRNA from 1 species